rnacentral:rRNA from 1 species
CCUACGGGUGGCAGCAGUGGGGAAUUUUGCGCAAUGGCCGGAAGCCUGAUGCAGCAACGCCGCGUGAACGAGACGGCCCUAGGGGUGUUAAGCUCCUUUAGUGGGGGAGAAAAAUGACGGUACCUACAGAGGACGCACCGGCUAACUCCGUGCCAGCAGCCGCGGUAAUACGGAGGGGGCGAGCGUUUUCCGGAUUUAUUGGGUGUAAGGGGUUCGUAGGCGGCAGGUAAAGCCAGGAGUUAAAGCCGAAGGCUCAACCUGUGGAGUGCCCUUGAUACUGGCUGGCUGGAAUGCGGAUGCGGUAGAGGGAAUGCCUGGUGUAGCGGUGAAAUGCGUAGAUAUCAGGAGGAACACCGGUUGCGUAAGCGCCUUACGGGGCCGCAAUUGACGCUGAGGAACGAAAGCGAGGGUAGCAAACGGGAUUAGAUACCCCAGUAGUC